rnacentral:snRNA from 1 species
GGCUAUGAGGGUGAUCUGACUGCAACAUUUAUCACGCCAUUGAUCAUCAGGGUUGAUUCAGCUGAUCUGGCAGGCUAGGUGGGUGUCCCCUUUCUAACUCACCACUCCAUUGUGCAUCCCUCCCGAAGCUGCUUGAUCGGUCAAAGAAGAUGACCUUUCCUGAUAGAGGUGUACAGAUCUUCUGUCAAGGGUAUAGGAGUAGCUAAAAGCUAACUCCUCUUCAUUACUCACUGUCCUAUUUCUCUAUUCCUAACCAUAUAGCACUGGAUAUUAU